GCGAUUGAAUAGCGCAUGCCGCCUCGCCAUAGCGCAGGCGGCUCAAUAACGCAACCCUUGCCUUUUCUGAAGCACCGUUAUUUGAUCCCUCGGCGGCCUCGCCCGCCAACAGGGACCCUGAAAACACUUGCAAUCCUAGUAUAAACCUUCUGAAAUAACCUAAAUCUUUUAA
rnacentral:misc_RNA from 1 species